rnacentral:misc_RNA from 1 species
CCAAACUUGGUCAUUUAGAGGAAGUAAAAGUCGUAACAAGGUAACCGUAGGUGAACCUGCGGUUGGAUCAUUAAAAAAGAUUUGGUCUAGUGCCGAAUUAACACCUGUGUGCACCAUUGUCUGUAUUUGGUAGUUCGAGCGCUCCCCUUUUUGGGGGAGCCUACCCCUGUCUCACACUUUUGUGUUGAGGCUCAUGCGUGAUGCCCCGUUUGGGGCAGCACGGGCCAGACUCGGGUUGGGCUACCGCUUUUUUUUCUGAUUAACUAUUGUUUUGUAUUUUUGUCUGAACGAAGAGUUAAUCUUUACUGAUUAAUGAUUUGAAUACAACUUUUGACAACGGAUCUCUUGGCUCUCGCAUCGAUGAAGAACGCAGC